GAUGAACGCUGGCGGCGUGCCUAAUACAUGCAAGUCGAGCGAACAGACGAGGAGCUUGCUUCUCUGACGUUAGCGGCGGACGGGUGAGUAACACGUGGAUAACCUACCUAUAAGACUGGGAUAACUUCGGGAAACCGGAGCUAAUACCGGAUAAUAUUUUGAACCGCAUGGUUCAAUAGUGAAAGACGGUUUUGCUGUCACUUAUAGAUGGAUCCGCGCUGCAUUAGCUAGUUGGUAAGGUAACGGCUUACCAAGGCAACGAUGCGUAGCCGACCUGAGAGGGUGAUCGGCGACACUGGAACUGAGACACGGUCCAGACUCCUACGGGAGGCAGCAGUAGGGAAUCUUCCGCAAUGGGCGAAAGCCUGACAGAGCAACGCCGCGUGAGUGAUGAAGGUCUUCGGAUCGUAAAACUCUGUUAUUAGGGAAGAACAGAUGUGUAAGUAACUGUGCACAUCUUGACGGUACCUAAUCAGAAAGCCACGGCUAACUACGUG
rnacentral:rRNA from 1 species